UGAAGGGAGCAUUUUUAGUCUUCUGAGUCUAAAUUAAAAAAUAGUCGGAUAUAAUUUUCAAUAGGCUAGAAGCAAUAAAUCAUCAAAAGAAGCGUGUGUGUACAUAGGAAAUAGUACUAUAAGUUUCAGUAUCUGCUUAAAUACAUACAUACAUAGCCUGCUUUUUUCAACACAAUACCUUAGCAAAACAAAAUCAAUAUAAUGAAAAAAAAACGGAAAAUAAAUCAUGGAAAAUAUAAAAGAAAAUUAACAAAUAAAUCCACUUUAUCUCCCUGUAAUUCCACGGUUGAUAUGUAUAUAUGUAGCUACACACGUCGUCAGAAAGCGUGAUGAGAAGGUUAUUUAAGGAACAGUUGAAACGUGCGUACGCGUUGGCAAUAAUCCAAUAUGAGAUAAGCACUACCACUACACAAACACACCAACCCAAAUGUAUUGGUAAAAACCAGUUUCGUCUGACACUUAUUGAAGUCAUAUAAAGUUCAAAAUUUACUUACCGGCCAGAAGGAUUAGCAAAUGAGCUGAACACUAAAUCGAGUAGCAAAA